ACUCCUACGGGAGGCAGCAGUGGGGAAUAUUGCACAAUGGGCGCAAGCCUGAUGCAGCAACGCCGUGUGAGUGAAGAAGGUUUUCGGAUCGUAAAACUCUGUCCUAAGGGAAGAAACAAAUGACGGUACCUUAGGAGGAACGCCCCGGCUAACUACGUGCCAGCAGCCGCGGUAAUACGUAGGGGCAAGCGUUAUCCGGAAUCACUGGGCGUAAAGGGUGCGUAGGCGGCUUAGCAAGCCAGGGGUGAAAGGCAUUGGCUCAACCAAUGUAAGCCUUUGGAACUGUUAAGCUUGAGUGCAGGAGAGGUAAGUGGAAUUCCUAGUGUAGAGGUGAAAUUCGUAGAUAUUAGGAGGAACACCAGUGGCGAAGGCGACUUACUGGACUGUAACUGACGCUGAUGCACGAAAGCGUGGGUAGCGAACAGGAUUAGAUACCCUGGUAGCACAGAG
rnacentral:rRNA from 1 species